rnacentral:lncRNA from 1 species
CCAGAUAAGUAGUGUCAGGAUAGGAAACAUGAAUUGGCAGCUGCCAGGAGAAGUUCUCUGCCAUGCCUUUCUCAACAAAGCAAAGAUCAGCAAAGAUGCAAGAUCAAUGAAGCAUUGCAAAGUGUGUUGGGGUAUCCAGGACUUGCUGUGGUGGAAAUACUCGGUUCUGAUGAUGCCAAGUAGUCUUGGUUUCUGUUGGAGAUACAGAGGAGGAAGACUCCGUGUGACCAUAGAGCCUAAGACUGGGAGAAACAGCCACAAGUCACAGCAGUGAAGAGCCAACAGAAGCAGCAAGAGGCCAUGGAAGAAACUUUAAUAACAACAUGCAGCUGAUUAUGUUUUUGUAAGUAUAUAAAACAUUACAUUUCAAAAGAUUUUGCUUGAGCCCCCAAAGCAACUUCUAAAACAUUAAUGAGCCUGUUCAGAAUCAGGAAGGAGCUUUGUAAUUG